UCUCAGCAUCAGUCUCUCUCUACCUCUGGAGGUGGAAUAUCAGGAUAAAAACAGCUACAGCUGUGUGCUCAAUCACAUCAGAAACCAGACCACACAUCUCAACAUCACUCAACUCUGUCUGCCAUGUCCAGGUUUGUUGGUGCUGAUAUUAAUGUGAUUAAGAUUAUCUCUUAGUUAUACAGUGUUGAUGUUUCAGUGUUUCUUGUAGAUCAGACAAACAGAUUUACUGACACGUGGUUCAAUUUGUCGAUUCCAGAUCAGGGCCUACCUUUAUUUUACAUAGUGUUGAUUCCUUCUGCUGCUGGAUCUCUGUUGAUUGUUUCAGUUGUGAUCUUCUGCAUCUGCAGGAAAUGUAGAAAAACAGCUCUGACUCAAGAGGAAGACAGAACUGAUUCAGCAUUGUGUAAACCAGCAACACGAAAAACGAAAUCAAAGACUGACGCUGUGUAUGAAAAUGUCCCCAAAAAGCGAUGAUCAAAAAGACUGUAUCUACUGGAUUUUUGCCAUUAGAGCUCAUACU